GAUGAACGCUGGCUGUGUGCCUAAUACAUGCAUGUCGAGCGGAAGUAGCAAUACUUUAGCGGCGAAUGGGUGAGUAACACGUGCUUAAUCUACCUCUUAGAUUGGAAUACCUAAUGGAAACAUUGGUUAAUGCCGGAUACGCAUGGAGUCGCAUGACUCCGUUGUGAAAGGGGCCUUUAAAGCUCCACUAAGAGAUGAGGGUGCGGAACAUUAGCUAGUUGGUGAGGUAACGGCCCACCAAGGCUAUGAUGUUUAGCCGGGUCGAGAGACUGAACGGCCACAUUGGGACUGAGAUACGGCCCAAACUCCUACGGGAGGCAGCAGUAGGGAAUAUUCCACAAUGAGCGAAAGCUUGAUGGAGCGACACAGCGUGCACGAUGAAGGUCUUAUGGAUUGUAAAGUGCUGUUGCAAGGGAAGAAAAAGUAGUUGAGGAAAUGCUUCUACAUUGACGGUACCUUGUUAGAAAGCGAUGGCUAACUAUGUGCCAGCAGCCGCGGUAAUACAUAGGUCGCAAGCGUUAUCCGGAAUUAUUGGGGCGUAAAGCGUUCGUAGGCUGUUUAUUAAGUCUGGAGUCAAAUCCCAGGGCUCAACCCUGGCUCGCUUUGGAGACUGGUAAACUAGAGUUGGAUUGGAGUAAGCGGAUUUCCAUGUGAAGCUGGUGAAAUGUGUAGAUAUAUGGAAUGAACACCGUGUCGUUGUCGGUGUGCGUGGUUUAUACUGACGCUGAUGAACGAAAGCGGGGGAGCGAAACGGAUUGAUGCCCUGGUGCGCGAGGGCGAUUGCACAGUGGGUGUGGGUGUGUGUGGUGCGACGGGGCGUGUGUGAUGACAAAAAUAAAUGAGAUUUGUGUCUGUUGUUAUGUUAUAAAGUGAGACUAAAUGAGUGUGUAGGAAUGGUGAUGAGUGCUGUGUGGUGUAUAUUAUGAGUAGCUGUUGUGUGUGCGUGUGAUGUGUGUGUGUUGUUGUGUGCUGUGUGUGUUGCUAUGCCGACUGUGGUGCCUC
rnacentral:rRNA from 1 species